rnacentral:pre_miRNA from 1 species
AAGGAGGGGGGGAGGUCUCUCAGUCCGGAUUGCAAGAGGGCACAGGCCAGGCUGAGGGACCCCACCGGUGUAGA